rnacentral:lncRNA from 1 species
UUUGCCAAUAGUUUGUAAUGGUGAUCAAACAUGGCAAGAACAACUGGUAUCUCAGGAAUCACAUAAAUUUCAAUCCUUAUGUGAUAUAGACAGGAGGCCCAGGUGGUGAAGGGCAAUGAAAGAAGCUGAGAAGACCAGGCAUGUGAGUAUGUGUAAGUAUGUGCAAGAGCCGUGGCCUAUCCCCAUUCAUUCAUUCACGAAGCUGAGAGGAGGAGGAAGUGCUGCUGUAUCUUUGGCACACAGUUUCAGCUGAUGACAACCAGUUUGAAGACCCCCAAAAGAAGAACCAAACUGCAUGAGAAUUCAGUUUCUUCAUCUCCCUACCCCAUGAUUUCACCUUGUUCUCUCUGACCAAUAACCAUCUCCCCACUUUGGCCCUCUCCAAAACCCUUAAAAAUUCUAAGCCCAAACUCCCCAGGGAGACAGAUUUGAGGUUUCCUCCCAUCUCCUCAUUCAAUGGCUCUGCAAUUAAACCUGUUUCUCUGCCGCAGCCUGGUAUCUCAGCAUAUUGACUUGCCACGUGCAUCAAGCAACAAACCUUUUACUGUUAUACUACUCAAAAUAUGCCUCUUUGGAAUGAGGACUAUUUUGAGCUGGUUAUUUAGAGAAACUGCAGAC